rnacentral:sRNA from 1 species
UCAGCAAUGUGUUCCCACGGCCUUCAUACCAGGUACAUGUGUUUGUGUGGAUGGAUGCAGGGUAAGAGUGAGGAUGGGGGAUCCUCAGUUCAGCUGACUGCUGGGCAGGCCACAUGCCAAUACUCACUCAAAAAUGCCUUUCAGGAGGAAGCUGUAACCAAGUUCCUGAGCUCUAGCCCCCACCUGCCACCAUCCAGUUACUUCAAUGCCAGUGGCCGUGCCUACCCAGAUGUGGCUGCACUUUCCGAUGGCUACUGGGUGGUCAGCAACAGAGUGCCCAUUCCAUGGGUGUCCGGAACCUCGGCCUCUACUCCAGUGUUUGGGGGGAUCCUAUCCUUGAUCAAUGAGCACAGGAUCCUUAGUGGCCGCCCUCCUCUUGGCUUUCUCAACCCAAGGCUCUACCAGCAGCAUGGGGCAGGACUCUUUGAUGUAACCCGUGGCUGCCAUGAGUCCUGUCUGGAUGAAGAGGU